rnacentral:rRNA from 1 species
GAUGAACGCUAGCGGCAGGCUUAAUACAUGCAAGUCGAGGGGCAGCACGGGUAGCAAUACCUGGUGGCGACCGGCAAACGGGUGCGGAACACGUACGCAACCUUCCCAUAACUGGUGAAUAGCCCUCCGAAAGGAGGAUUAAUACACCGUAACAUAAUGAAGAGGCAUCUCUUUAUUAUUAUAGGCAGCAAUGUCGGUUUUGGUA